UGUUAUAGUUUAUUUGAUGUUCGUUUUACAUGGAUAACCGUGGUAAUUCUAGGGCUAAUACAUGCUCGAGGCGCGUUUUUCGCGUGGCGUUUAUUAGACUUAACCAACCCCUUUGGUAAUCGGGAUACUUU
rnacentral:rRNA from 1 species